AUUUAAAUGACAGACUUACCUAUAUUCUACGAUGCAACUCAUAUACCAGACAAACAAAAAUCCCAAGAGAUACCUUCCGUCAGAAGAAACCAAGUCGUGUCUAUACAAAUAGCAAACAAUCAAUCAAGAAGCUUAACAAGAUCAAACAAUAAUACAGCAGACAACACGUCAUCGGAGAUAGAUAGCACAACACGUUCUACAUCACUUAUCAAUAAUAGUGCAUCACAAAUAAGGAGUCGUGUAUUAUGUUCUGCAAAAAUAUUGCCUGACUUUGAAAUCCGCCAGCAGUUUAGUCUACAUAUGACCGAUUUAGAUCUGAGAUUCGGAAAAACAGAGUCUGUAUGAUAUGUGUGAUUGAAUCUAAUACACAUUUACAAUAAUGUAAAAUUGAUAUAUAUUGUACGAAUUAUUUUUGAGGAACAUAAACGUCACUUAGAAUAAUUAUUCCGGUGAAAACCAUUACCGACGCAUUUGAUGAAAAUUCGUUUUACUUUAAAUAAAAUAUAGAACUUAUAAGGAGCAGAUCAAUUCAAAAUAUGGAUCAACAUUUGGAGGUAAUUCAUGAUAUUGUACUAAAUUUUAGUUACCGUAUUAAAAUUUUGAUUUAUUUUGGAAAGCAAGCGUAUGUAUACAAUUGACCGAAAAAGGCCUCAUUGGUAACAUAAGUUUUUAAAGUAAAAAAAAACAUAGAUGCAUGUUAUUUUUCCAAUUAAACACCUGUAUUAACAAGUGUUCAGUAUUAGUGAAUAAUGCAUUUGUAUUGCAAUAUAUCAAUUAUAAAUUUAAAGUCUGUUGUUAUUUAUGUAUUAUUGUCAUUUUGUUUAUUUUCUUUGGUUACAUCUUCUGACAUCAGACUCGGACUUCUCUUGAACUGAAUUUUAAUGUGCGUAUUGUUAUGCGUUUACUUUUCUACAUUGGCUAGAGGUAUAGGGGGAGGGUUGAGAUCUCAUAAACAUGUUUAACCCCGCCGCAUUUUUGCGCCUGUCCCAAGUCAGGAGCCUCUAGCCUUUGUUAGUCUUGUAUUAUUUUUAAUUUUAGUUUCUUGUGUACAAUUUGGAGUUUAGUAUGGCGUACAUUAUCACUGAACUAGUAUAUAUAUUUGUUUAGGGGCCAGCUGAAGGACGCCUCCGGGUGCGGGAAUUUCUCGCUGCAUUGAAGACCUGUUGGUGGCCUUCUGCUGUUGUCUGUUCUGUGGUCGGGUUGUUGUCUCUUUGACACAUUCCCCAUUUCCAUUCUCAAUUUUAAAGACCAGUAUUUUUCGUUUAAUUGUGUGUCAAGUAUUACAUAAUUAUUUAGAUAGUGUAAUUUAGAUAAAUGAAGAAGUUAAAGGGAGGUGCAAUUGUUAUUUAUAAUGUUAUUCUAACAAAUCAACGAAAUUCAAUAAAAUAUUCAACAACAUUUUGAUGUACUUCCUUAAAUUGGAAACAGCAUGUAAGGUUUCACAUUUCUGUGUAAACUAUAUAUAUGGCUUCCUUUUUAAGUAGUAGUUAUGAUGAAUUGUCAAUCUUGUCUAAAAUCAUUGACUGCACAACACUAUAUUUGGUUCAAAUGAAGGAAACCCGGGCACAUUCUAAUAUAACCCUCUGUCAAAAUAUCAUAAACUGUUUAUUAUUGCUUCUUAUUGUUUAUGAAGCUUUAUUUUUUAUAUCCCCAUAUAAUUCAAAUGACAAAUCAAAACAUAUCAUCUGAACCAAAUAAUUCGAUCGUUCAAAAACAUGUAUUUGAAAAAACAGCUCACAGACAUAUCACAAUUUUUAAUCGGUAUCGUUUUCGGAGAUAUUUUCAUAAUAUGCUUUUUUAAACAAUUAUAACACUUAUACUACUUAUGACAUUGUAUAUAAUCAUUCAUUAAUUUAUUAUUUGAUGCACCAAUGUUACUUUUAUAUAUAAAGAUAUAAGUUUUA